rnacentral:misc_RNA from 1 species
AGUCGUAACAAGGUAUCCGUAGGUGAACCUGCGGAUGGAUCAUUACUGAAGGUUAAUCCCCGACGUACUGUGAACUGUUUUGAAUUUCAGUCAGUGGUUCUUGGCUAGCGUAGUAGAGUGUUGAUCAAAAGUCUUUACUCGCACUAUGAUAGUCUACCGCUGGCUGUACAUACUAUACGUAAUGCCAUUUCCUAAACUGAAGUCUUAUUUAGUACAAACUAAAGAUAACUUUUAGCAACGGAUCUCUUGGCUCUC